rnacentral:sRNA from 1 species
CUUGGUCAUUUAGAGGAAGUAAAAGUCGUAACAAGGUUUCCGUAGGUGAACCUGCGGAAGGAUCAUUAAAGAAUUGCGGCGAAGGGGCCCAGCGCCCCGGAGCCAAACGCGUUUCUACCCUGUCUUUUUCAUACCCCUACCUCCUCCCCAGCCCUCGGGCUGGGACGGCUACUCUUUAAAAACCUUGCAGUUUACAGUCAAUUCAGUUUUUUUAUAACAAAAUUACAACUUUCAACAAUGGAUCUCUUGGCUCUGGCAUCGAUGAAGAACGCAGCGAAAUGCGAUAAGUAGUGUGAAUUGCAGAAUUCAGCGAAUCAUCGAAUCUUUGAACGCACAUUGCGCCCUUCGGUUAUUCCUUAGGGCAUGCCUGUUCGAGCGUCAUUUCAACCUUCAAGCCCAGCUUGGUGUUGGGCGUUGUCCCGCCUCUUGCGCGCGGACUCGCCCCAAAUUGAUUGGCAGUCGCAUCCACCGAGCCGCGAGCGCAGCACAAGUCGCGCGAGCCGGCGAGGCGGCAAGGACGCUCCACAAGACCCUUUUUUACAAGUCUUGACCUCGGAUCAGGUAGGGAUACCCGCUGAACUUAAGCAUAUCAAUAAGCGGAGGAAAAGAAACCAACAGGGAUUGCCUCAGUAACGGCGAGUGAAGCGGCAACAGCUCAAAUUUGAAAUCUGGCUCCUUCGGGGUCCGAGUUGUAAUUUGCAGAGGGAGCUUUUGGCGUCGGUCGUGGUCUAAGUUCCUUGGAACAGGACGUCACAGAGGGUGAGAAUCCCGUACGUGGCCGCCGGCCUUCGCCCUGUAAAGCCCCUUCGACGAGUCGAGUUGUUUGGGAAU